UGGUCAGUCCUUGUUCUAAGUGCUUCACUUUUUUGUAUUUUACUUACUCAGCCCGACGAACUACAUGAAGAGGUUAAAAACAUUGGGGAGAAUCAUGGACCAUUGCAUCCAAUGUGCUUAUUGUCUUUGAAAUGUUGAAAGAUUCCCAUGCAAUAAAAAAAAAAAUCAAAAGUCAUCUGUAGUCUAUGACAUAUUCAUCAGUCUUCUGUCAGAAGACAACUUUUGUCCCCCAGAAUCUAGCCAAUGUCGUAUUUUCCUCAGAAGUUCUGUUCAUGAUGUGAGCGGGCCACUCAGAUAACAGCUUGCCAAGUAUUCAUACUAACCAAGACAGAUGGGAACGGCUAAGGAGUUUUUCAAUGCCAUUGCUGUGUAAGCUGUCCUUUGCUUCCCUCAUGUGAGAAACUCAAAGCACUUUUGUGGAGAAGAUCAUUUAUUCAAGAACCGACUUUUCCUGUCAUUAACGAUGAGAAAAUGGCACCUUUGACAACCACCUUGGCUGGCCCACUUUGGAAUCAAAUGGGAUCUGGAUGGAAGAAGGAUGGCCGGGACCUCAACAUCCUGGACAAGUCACCCUGACAAACAACGGCACUGUUUUUGGAUUUCCCAGGAGGCGGAAGAGUGCCCUCUGAGAUUUAUAAACACAUCCAUAAUAAAUGGGAGGCUGGAGUUUAAACUGUUAUGGAGGCUCCUCUGCUGUGCCGCCGAGGUCUCGUGUGAUUUAGAGAGGUGACAUUUACUGUGUGCAGACCUAUUAUUCAGAGUGACUGUUUGUGUAUAGACAAUAUUUUAAAAUGGCUUGCUGUAGAUGAAAAAUUCUUAUUAAGUCAGAAAAACAGUUUAAGUAGGUAACACUCUCUCAGUUUAGUCUGCUAUAAGUCUUACUGUCUUGCCACAUGGAAAGUGCUUGGGGUGGGAGGCAGUGACACCUCCCAGGUGCUGGCUAAAAUACUACCUGCAGAGCGAACAGGAUACGGGCUUCAGCUGGGACCACAAAACUAAUUGUACAGCUGAAGUGAAACCGGUAGGCAUUUCUGCAGGUGUCAUCACUAUGGCCCAACCAAGAGAAUGCGGGAGGCCCAGCGCCCAUAGACUAGAGACAGAAGUAGGUUUUUCCACUAAGUAGUAGUGUGAUCUCACAGAUGUCUCUUAACCUCCCAGAGCCUCAGUUUCCCUAAUCUGCAAAAUUUGGGAAUUGGAUGAGGUGCCUUCUAAAACCCCUGUGGGACCUAUUUUGUGUAGCCUAGUCUUAGGGAAGCAUGCCUCUGAGCCCCCAAUGGCUGUGUAGCCCUUUACAGUCACCCAGAACAUUCCCUUAGCUUCCCGUUUCCCCCAUUUAAAUCCCAUGGUAGUCCUGAGAAAGAGACAGAGAAAUGAUUAUUGUACCACUUCUUCAAAUAAGGAGAGAGGCUCAUGGGAAUUAGGUGUCACGUCCAAGAUCUUAUGGCUGGAAGGAACCUAAACCCCACAUCUUACCCUUAGUCUCAGACACUGUCUCAACACAUUUCUCAUAUCCCUACCUGCCCUAAGAGCUCUGUAAUUUGUUACAAAUAGCUCACGGGGAGAAGAUAAUUGCCAAAACAUAGAUAUGAACAGAGGGCAGGAAGAGGACAAACAUGGCCAGUUCUCAGGAGGCUCAUGGUCUUCUAGGAGAGACAGCACAUCUCUGCCUAACCACACUCUACCCGUUUUUAGAGUCCAAACUCCAUUUUCUCCUCCCUCAGGAAGCCUGUUUUGUUCCACUUCUAUUCCAGCCCUGAAAUAUCCUUCCUUCGACACCGCUGGUUGACCUCCAUUUUCAAGACAGGUGCAAUAAGCACGUUCUUUUCUCCUCCUUCUUGUGUUAGCAUGUGUGUACCUCACUUUUCUAACUUAUUAAUAACCUUUGUGUCAGCAAGGUUUGUGAAUCCUACUAGUAGUUAACUCAUUCAUGGGGAGGAAUCAGUUACGUGAUUCAGCCAUCAACAAAGACACUUACGCUACCCUAGAUAAGGGUAGUACCGACAUAGACGCUACACUGCUCUGCUCCUCACAGCUUUAACCUCACUAGGAAGGGACAUCACAGCCUUUUUCAUCUAGUAGAGCUACAGUCUUGUCUCCUUUAUCACUAUGUUGUCACCUCCGUUAUUCUUCACCAUAGUACUUAUUACUCUAAGAACUUGAACGUUUAUUGUCCCGUCUCCCAACUUAGAGUGUAAUCUCCAUGAUCACAGGGUUUCAUCUGACUUUUUCAUUGCUCUAUCUUCACACCAUGAACAACGCACAUCAUAGGUGCUCAAUAAAUAUCCACGGAAUGAAUGGAUGCCUGCACGCAUUUCAGGCUUUGUGACCAUAGCGUGUGAUC